UACGGGGGGUGCAAGCGUUAUCCGGAUUUAUUGGGUUUAAAGGGUGCGUAGGCGGCCUUUUAAGUCAGUGGUGAAAACCUGCGGCUCAACCGUAGGCGUGCCAUUGAAACUGAAGGGCUUGAGUUAUCAUGAGGCAGGCGGAAUGUGUAGUGUAGCGGUGAAAUGCUUAGAUAUUACACAGAACACCGAUUGCGUAGGCAGCUUGCUAAAGGUACACUGACGCUGAUGCACGAAAGCGUGGGGAUCGAACAGG
rnacentral:rRNA from 1 species